GAUGAAGAACGUAGCGAAAUGCGAUACUUGGUGUGAAUUGCAGAAUCCCGUGAACCAUCGAGUCUUUGAACGCAAGUUGCGCCUCAAGCCAUUAGGUUGAGGGCACGUCUGCCUGGGCGUCACAUAUCGUUGCCUGAUGCCAGUUUCCUCGUGAUGGGUGACUGUGCAGGGCGAAUGAUGGCUUCCCGUGAGCAUUGUUGCCUCAUGGUUGGUUGAAAAUUGAGUCCUUGGUAGGGAGCGCCGUGAUAGAUGGUGGUUGAGUGACGAACGAGACCCAAUCAUGUGAGACCCCUACCGAAUUUGGCCUUCAUGACCCACAUGCGUCUUUGGAACGCUCAUGACGAGACCUCAGGUCAGGCGGGGCUACCCGCUGAGUUUAAGUAUAUCAAUAAGCGGAGGA
rnacentral:misc_RNA from 1 species